rnacentral:rRNA from 1 species
AACGAACGCUGGCAGCAUGCCUAACACAUGCAAGUCGAACGAGACCUUCGGGUCUAGUGGCGCACGGGUGCGUAACGCGUGGGAACCUGCCCUUAGGUUCGGAAUAACUCCCCGAAAGGGGUGCUAAUACCGGAUAAUGUCUUCGGACCAAAGAUUUAUCGCCUUUGGAUGGGCCCGCGUUGGAUUAGCUAGUUGGUAGGGUAAAAGCCUACCAAGGCGACGAUCCAUAGCUGGUCUGAGAGGAUGAUCAGCCACACUGGGACUGAGACACGGCCCAGACUCCUACGGGAGGCAGCAGUGGGGAAUAUUGGACAAUGGGCGAAAGCCUGAUCCAGCAAUGCCGCGUGAGUGAUGAAGGCCUUAGGGUUGUAAAGCUCUUUUACCCGGGAUGAUAAUGACAGUACCGGGAGAAUAAGCUCCAGCUAACUCCGUG